rnacentral:piRNA from 1 species
GCCCUUCACUUCAGGCUUCCGGAGUAAGCC